GAGAAACAAAGCUAAAUCUAGGUGCUGCAAGAAAAGUCACAGCCUUGGGGUUUCAGUGAAGAGACAGCCCAAAUGCUCUUGAAGUAGUCAGAAAAGUCUAUAGGUGUGACUCCCUUAUGCCGCUCUCUCCUGCCAUUUGGGCAACAGCCAACUUCCGAGACCAACCUUGUUUCUGGAGAAGCAUUCUUCCCACAUGGGAAAGGCAAGGAUGGUGCUGAGCCUGUCUGCGUCUGUGUUCCCUGGACAACUCCAUUCCAGUGCAAGAUUCUCAUGGUUGAAUUCAUAGUGGGCUUCUAUGACUUCUGCCUUGCCCUGGAGGUCCAAUACAGG